rnacentral:rRNA from 1 species
AGGACGAACGCUGGCGGCGUGCUUAACACAUGCAAGUCGAACGGAAAGGCCCUGCUUUUGGGGGUGCUCGAGUGGCGAACGGGUGAGUAACACGUGAGUAACCUGCCCUUGACUUUGGGAUAACUUCAGGAAACUGGGGCUAAUACCGGAUAGGAGCUCCUGCUGCAUGGUGGGGGUUGGAAAGUUUCGGCGGUUGGGGAUGGACUCGCGGCUUAUCAGCUUGUUGGUGGGGUAGUGGCUUACCAAGGCUUUGACGGGUAGCCGGCCUGAGAGGGUGACCGGCCACAUUGGGACUGAGAUACGGCUCAGACUCCUACGGGAGGCAGCAGUGGGGAAUAUUGCACAAUGGGCGGAAGCCUGAUGCAGCAACGCCGCGUGCGGGAUGACGGCCUUCGGGUUGUAAACCGCUUUCGCCUGUGACGAAGCGUGAGUGACGGUAAUGGGUAAAGAAGCACCGGCUAACUACGUGCCAGCAGCCGCGGUGAUACGUAGGGUGCGAGCGUUGUCCGGAUUUAUUGGGCGUAAAGGGCUCGUAGGUGGUUGAUCGCGUCGGAAGUGUAAUCUUGGGGCUUAACCCUGAGCGUGCUUUCGAUACGGGUUGACUUGAGGAAGGUAGGGGAGAAUGGAAUUCCUGGUGGAGCGGUGGAAUGCGCAGAUAUCAGGAGGAACACCAGUGGCGAAGGCGGUUCUCUGGGCCUUUCCUGACGCUGAGGAGCGAAAGCGUGGGGAGCGAACAGGCUUAGAUACCCUGGUAGUCCACGCUGUAAACGGUGGGUACUAGGUGUGGGGUCCAUUCCAGGGUUCCGCGCCGUAGCUAACGCUUUAAGUACCCCGCCUGGGGAGUACGGCCGCAAGGCUAAAACUCAAAGGAAUUGACGGGGCCCCGCACAAGCGGCGGAGCAUGCGGAUUAAUUCGAUGCAACGCGUAGAACCUUACCUGGGUUUGACAUGGAUCGGGAGUGCUCAGAGAUGGGUGUGCCUCUUUUGGGGUCGGUUCACAGGUGGUGCAUGGCUGUCGUCAGCUCGUGUCGUGAGAUGUUGGGUUAAGUCCCGCAACGAGCGCAACCCUUGUUCACUGUUGCCAGCACGUUAUGGUGGGGACUCAGUGGAGACCGCCGGGGUCAACUCGGAGGAAGGUGGGGAUGACGUCAAGUCAUCAUGCCCCUUAUGUCCAGGGCUUCACGCAUGCUACAAUGGCUGGUACAGAGAGUGGCGAGCCUGUGAGGGUGAGCGAAUCUCGGAAAGCCGGUCUCAGUUCGGAUUGGGGUCUGCAACUCGACCUCAUGAAGUUGGAGUCGCUAGUAAUCGCGAUCAGCAACGCUGCGGUGAAUACGUUCCCGGGGCUUGUACACACCGCCCGUCAAGUCAUGAAAGUUGGUAACACCCGAAGCCGGUGGCCUAACCGUUGUGGGGGAGCCGUCGAAGGUGGGACUGGUGAUUAGGACUAAGUCGUAACAAGGU